UCUUGAUGUUUUAGACUUUUUCAGUCUCUCACUUCAACAAACUACUUCUGGAAGUCUUCGUGACUCUGAGUGAUUCCAGAUGUGUUGCCUCAUGACACAGUUUUACAAAAAUGAAGACCUCUGGCAAAGCCCUGGCAGGGCUCCGUGUACCAUAGCUGAAGAUCUCUGGAAGGACUUAUCAGUACAGCAGGAUGGCUUAGAAAGGCUGAAGUUCUAACUGCAGCAGAGCCUGUGAAGCCUGGCCACACCAACAGGGGAAUGAGGAUAGGCCACUCAGAAAUCACAAAUCUAGAUUUAGGGAAAAACUCUGUGACUGAUGGAAGGAUAGGAAGAAAAUCAGCAGAUAUCUAUAUUACUCCUUUCAAGGCCCGGAGAACAUCUAAGAAGAGCAAGAAGAAAAAAAAUGUAGCAGCCAGAGGAUUGUGUGGUAUGUUAUGUAACU
rnacentral:lncRNA from 1 species